rnacentral:rRNA from 1 species
CCCUUAGAUGUUCUGGGCCGCACGCGUGCUACACUGAACGGUUCAAUGGGUAAGGUGGUGCGAAAGCAUGACCUAAUCUCGAAAUCCGUUCGUGCUGGGGAUAGAAGCUUGCAAUUAUCCUUCUUGAACGAGGAAUACCUUGUAAGCGUGAGUCAUCAUCUCACGCUGAAUACGUCCCUGCCCUUUGUACACACCGCCCGUCGCUCCUACCGAUUGAGUGUUCCGGUGAGGCUUUGGGAGAAUGGCCUCAACAUGAGUUUAUCGUGUUUUGCCGUUUGAACUUAGUCAAACCUUAUCACUUAGAGGAAGGAGAAGUCGUAACA